UACGUAGGCAGCAAGCGUUGUUCGGAGUUACUGGGCGUAAAGCGUGCGCAGGCGGUUCGCUAAGACAGAUGUGAAAUCCCCGGGCUUAACCUGGGAACUGCAUUUGUGACUGGCGGGCUAGAGUAUGGCAGAGGGGGGUAGAAUUCCACGUGUAGCAGUGAAAUGCGUAGAGAUGUGGAGGAAUACCGAUGGCGAAGGCAGCCCCCUGGGCCAAUACUGACGCUCAUGCACGAAAGCGUGGGGAGCAAACAGG
rnacentral:rRNA from 1 species